rnacentral:rRNA from 1 species
CCGUACCAAGGCGAUGAUGCAUAGCCGAGUUGAGAGACUGAUCGGCCACCAUUGGGACUGAGACACGGCCCAAACUCCUACGGGAGGCAGCAGUAGGGAAUCUUCCACAAUGGACGCAAGUCUGAUGGAGCAACGCCGCGUGAGUGAAGAAGGGUUUCGGCUCGUAAAGCUCUGUUGUUGGUGAAGAAGGACAGGGGUAGUAACUGACCUUUGUUUGACGGUAAUCAAUUAGAAAGCCACGGCUAACUACGUGCCAGCAGCUGCGGUAAAAU